GUGGGGAAUUUUGGACAAUGGGCGCAAGCCUGAUCCAGCCAUUCCGCGUGCAGGAUGAAGGCCUUCGGGUUGUAAACUGCUUUUGUACGGAACGAAAAGGUUCUCUCUAAUACAGGGGGCUGAUGACGGUACCGUAAGAAUAAGCACCGGCUAACUACGUGCCAGCAGCCGCGGUAAUACGUAGGGUGCAAGCGUUAAUCGGAAUUACUGGGCGUAAAGCGUGCGCAGGCGGUGAUGUAAGACAGAUGUGAAAUCCCCGGGCUCAACCUGGGAACUGCAUUUGUGACUGCAUUGCUGGAGUGCGGCAGAGGGGGAUGGAAUUCCGCGUGUAGCAGUGAAAUGCGUAGAUAUGCGGAGGAACACCGAUGGCGAAGGCAAUCCCCUGGGCCUGCACUGACGCUCAUGCACGAAAGCGUGGGGAGCAAACAGGAUUAGAAACCCGGGUAGUCC
rnacentral:rRNA from 1 species